AUUGAACGCUGGCGGCAGGCUUAACACAUGCAAGUCGAGCGGGGUGAUGGUGCUUGCACUAUCACUUAGCGGCGGACGGGUGAGUAAUGCUUAGGAAUCUGCCUAUUAGUGGGGGACAACAUCUCGAAAGGGAUGCUAAUACCGCAUACGUCUUACGGGAGAAAGCAGGGGAUCACUUGUGACCUUGCGCUAAUAGAUGAGCCUAGGUCGGAUUAGCUGGUGGGUGGGGUAAAGGCUUACCAAGGCGACGAUCUGUAGCGGGUCUGAGAGGAUGAUCCGCCACACUGGGACUGAGACACGGCCCAGAGUCCUACGGGAGGCAGCAGUGGGGAAUAUUGGACAAUGGGGGGAACCCUGAUCCAGCCAUGCCGCGUGUGUGAAGAAGGCCUUAUGGUUGUAAAGCACUUUAGGCGAGGAGGAGGCUCUUUUGGUUAAUACCCAAGAUGAGUGGACGUUACUCGCAGAAUAAGCACCGGCUAACUCUGUGCCAGCCGCCGCUGUAA
rnacentral:rRNA from 1 species